GCUCAGGUGGGACCAUCCAGUUUCAGGAAAACAAGCUUAACACGCCCACUGAUUCUACAUUAUGCUCCUACCUCCCGGCAGUCUCGCCAGGCCCAGAACUCUCUCCAGUCAGCCUCUACAGACCAAGCUCAUGACUCACAAUGGCCUAUUUAGGCCCAUACCCUACCUCACGGCAGUCUCCGCAGAUGAGCCUACUGCCUCACAACAGCCUCCACAGGCACAGCUCCAUCGUUACAAUGGCCUCUUUAGACCCAGCUCCUGCCUCCCAGCCUUCUCUCCAGGCCCUGAACUUUCUCCGUGAGACCAUCCAGUUUCAGGAAAACAAGCUUAACACGCCCACUGAUUCUACAUUAUGCUCCUACCUCCCGGCAGCCUCGCCAGGCCCAGAACUCUCUCCAGUCAGCCUCUACAGACCAAGCUCAUGACUCACAAUGGCCUAUUUAGGCCCAUACCCUACCUCACGGCAGUCUCCGCAGAUGAGCCUACUGCCUCACAACAGCCUCCACAGGCACAGCUCCGUCGUUACAAUGGCCUCUUUAGACCCAGCUCCUGCCUCCCAGCCUUCUCUCCAGGCCCUGAACUUCCUCCGUGGGACCAUCCAGUUUCAGGAAAACAAGCUUAACACGCCCACUGAUUCUACAUUAUGAUUCUUCAGGCCCAGCAUCUGCCUCACUGUGGACCCCCCAAGCCAAGCUCCCAACCUUUCAGCAGCUUCUACACACCCAGCUCCCGCCUGCCAGUGGCCUCUUCAGGCCCAUGGGGCUCAUUCCUCACAACAGCCUUUCCAGUCCCAGUUUUUCCCUUCCGGCGGCCUCUCCGGGCUGAGAACCUCCUCAAGUCGGCCUCUCCAGACUCACUUGCACCCUCCAGGCGUCCUCUCCGGGCCAAGCUCCUCUUCCUGGCUGAGUCUCCAGGCCUGACUCCUGCCUCUCAACAACCUCUUUGGACUCAGUGCCUACCCAUCUCCUGGCGUCCUUGGUCGGCCCACAGCUUCCUCAAGCCAAGCUCCCCAGGCCCAGGUCAGGCCUCACGGUGCCCCCUCCACGAUGAGCUCCUGCCCUCCAAUGGCACCUGCAGGACCCAAAUGGUCUCCGGUCGGUGGGCUCCUCCACGCCAAGUUUGGGCCUCCCGGUGACCUCUGCAGGCCCAAGUUGUCCUGAAGUCGGCAUCUCCCAGCCAUGCCUCCCAGCAAGUAAGCAAGCUCUUUUGGCUCAACUCCUGCCCAGCUCCCAACCGCCUUUGUAGGUCCCGAACUUUCUCCAGCCAAGUUCUUUGGGCCUCAUUCCUGCCGCCCGGUGGCCUGUACGGGCCCAGCAAUGGUUGGAGAACGGCCUCUGCAGGUCCCGCUCUUGCCUCCCAGGGGCCUCUCCAGGCCCAGCUCUUGCCCCCACGGCGGCCACCUGGGGCCAAGUCCCUGCCUGCCUCCCAGCAGCCCGCAUGCGGCCCAGCUCCUCCCUCACGGUGGCCUGUUGAUGCCCAUGCCUCUGGUACCCUGCCCAGAGGCAUGAGCCCCUGCCACACACUGGCUCCUCCCAUGCUGAGAGAGGUCAGCGUGAGCCCUUGCCUCACACCGGCCCCUCCCAUCCUGAGAGAGGUCAGCGUGAGCCCCUUGACUCACACUGGCUCCUCCCACGCUGAGAGAGGUCAGCGUGAGCCCUUGCCUCACACCGGCCCCUCCCAUGCUGAGAGAGGUCGGCGUGAGCCCUUGACUCACACCGGCCCCUCCCACGGUGAGAGAGGUCAGCGUCAGCCCCUUGCCUCACACCGGCCCCUCCCACGCUGAGAGAGGUCGGCGUGAGUCCUUGCCUCACACCGGCCCCUCCCACAGUGAGAGAGGUCAGCGUCAGCCCCUUGCCUCACACCGGCCCCUCCCACGCUGAGAGAGGUCAGCGUCAGCCCCUUGCCUCACACCGGCCCCUCCCACGGUGAGAGAGGUCAACAUGAGCCCCUUGCCUCACACCGGCCCCUCCCACGCUGAGAGAGGUCGGCGUCAGCCCCUUGCCUCACACCGGCCCCUCCCACGCUGAGAGAGGUUGGCGUGAGCCCCUUGCCUCACACCGGCCCCUCCCACGCUGAGAGAGGUCGGCGUCAGCCCCUUGCCUCACACCGGCCCCUCCCACGCUGAGAGAGGUUGGCGUGAGCCCCUUGCCUCACACCGGCCCCUCCCACGCUGAGAGAGGUCGGCGUCAGCCCCUUGCCUCACACCGGCCCCUCCCACGCUGAGAGAGGUUGGCGUGAGCCCCUUGCCUCACACCGGCCCCUCCCACGCUGAGAGAGGUCAACAUGAGCCCCUUGCCUCACACCGGCCCCUCCC